rnacentral:lncRNA from 1 species
UGUCUGUUGUUAAAGUUGGGUCGCUGUUGAUUUUGGCUGGAAGACAACAUGUAGUUUUCAUGACGAAGGCUUUGAAGUUCUUCUGUCAGCUGUUUAAUAGAUUUUUCAUGAAAUUGAAGUUUGGAAUGAAGGUCUGAUUUUUCAUUUUUCAAUGUUUGUAUUUCGUCUGUAAAUUCGGUUGAACGCAUAAAGUAAAGAUCUUGCACCAUUUUCACAGUCUUGUCUUUUUCAAUAACCUGGUCCUUU